GAAAGUGAAGCGGACACACAAGCCUGCGAGCAGUGGUGUUUUGCAGUCAGAUGUGGGAAGAAGAGGACAGAGGAAAGUAUUAAAACACCACUGUUUAUGCCUUUUCCCAGACAGUCUGCGGACUUGUGCAUUGAGCUCUCAGGGCCAAGAAGAGGAAAUCGUGUGGAAUUCCGGGAAGUACAGACAGACAGAACCACAAGAGGAGCAAGCAGAGGGCACAGACACUGCAGGCUCUGGAAGGGUCACAGGCCCUGAGGGUCAAAGAACCAACACUGGCUGACCUGGCCAGAUUAUGGAUGUUAGUGAAAUUAUUAUUUUGGAGCAGUAUUUGUGUAUACUAUCCCUUUAGCCUCAGGUAUGGAUAAAGGAACACCAGCCCUCACCAGCUGCAGAGGCUGCUUCAUGGGCUGAUGUGAAGGCCUGGAGAAAAGUACAACCAUGGAGCUGCCCUGCCUUGAAGGCUGCAAAAGGCCUACAUCCUCUCAAAACCACCAGAGGGUAGCAUGAGGUGUGGACUGAGACAUCCAGCCCGGGAAGCCCCAGAAGUCACGCAGAGAAAGGAGGCAGGAGAGAAAUUCCAGCACACUGUUGUAAAACCAUCAGAUGAGAUGAGAGAUGCUACAAAAGAUGGCAAAACUUGCCAAGCAGCACAUGGUGGAGGCUCGGCAAUACCAAAAGGCUUGGUAUGACAUGUUAGUAUGGCAGGGAAUCUUUAUCCCAGGUCAGAAGGUCCUACUCAUACUGCCCACCACUGACAGCAAACUUCUGGCAAAUGGUAAGUGCCAUUUGAGGUGGAGAAACUGCUUGGACUACCUACCAAAUUGUCACCCCAGGGUGACCAAGUUCCAGUAGUAUGCUACAUAUGAACCUCCUCAAGGAUUGGUCUGAAAGACCUGAGAAAAAGGCAGAGGUUUUUCUGAUCAGACGAUGACCAAUACCUGCCUUCACCAACCCCCACUGAACUUGAUCUAGGCCAUCUGUUAACUGAUCAACAAAAUCAAGUGAAAGCUUUAUGUAAUCCUCAAGUAUUUCAACAGUACCCAGGUCGCACAACAGGAUUAUUCAGUGGUACUUGGGAUGAGCAUCUCCAGAAUCUUAGGGAAGACCUGGAGAGCCUACAAUCCACAGGCCUGACCAUUAACCCUGCAAAGUGUGGUGUACAAGUUCCGUGCCAUUGAGUCGUGCCCCCUGCCUCAUACCAGGAAGCAAUGGCGAUCCUUCCUGGGGAUUGCUGGCUUCUAUCACCAGUUCAUCCCACAUUUUUCAGCCAGAGCUGCUCCACUGUUAUCUAAGUUACCGAUGCCUUUCUGUCAGCUCUAACCAGUCUGGCCAUUCUGCUCUGACCUCUCUCAUCAAUGAGACGUUUCCCUCUGCAGAACUGCCGCUCACUGGAUGUUUUUUGGUCUUUCACACCUCCUGAGUAAAUGCUAGAGGCUGUUGUGUGUGAAAAUCUCAGGAGAUCAGCAGUUUCAGAAACACUCAAACCAGCCCGCCUGGCACCAACCAUCAUGCCAAGGUCAAAGUCACUGAAAUCACAUAUUCCCCCAUUCUGAUGUUUAAUCUGAACUUUAACAGAAGCUCCUGAAACUAUGUGCAUCAUUUUAUGAUUUUAUGAUUUAUUGAAUGUUGUAAUUUCUCUCAUGUUUGCACAUACCUUAUAAUCACAGUAUGCAACUAAAACAUAUAUGCGUUGUAGUGUGAUAUGAUCAGAAUCAGAAUUUUGAAUAUAUGCAUUUUAUGUUCCCAAUGAAUCAUAUCAGAUUUUGUGGAACUGCAGCUUUCCAAACAACAGCUCAUCAAGUUUUGUCCAUGAUGCAUUGUACAAUAUCUGAAGGAGGGCUAGUGUUAGAAACACUUGUGAUUUAGAGGUUCAGACACUGACCAUGAAUGUGUCUAUAUUUGUUGUGCCUGAAUGUUUAUGUACAGAAUCUCAACAGAGCUUGUUUCUGGAUAUAUAUAUAUAUAUAUAUAUAUAAAUUUAGUAAUAAUAUUUUAAUGGAGUCUGAGUUCAAGCCUCAUUAAUGGUGUUAUGUUAUAGACAAUGAUCCCCUACCAAAAUUCCUCAACUCACUAUAAACCAUUCCCCAUCCCUCACUUUUAAACUUAUAAACCAGCAGAUUGUCUUCCUCCUUCUCCAUCCUGCUACUCUCUGACCCGCUCCCCAACAGUAAAUUGACACAUCUUGAUACAUAUAGUAUGUGUCAUAUUCUUGUACAUGGAGUGACCCAUUCAAUUAAUUCCAAGGCUGGCAGCGAAUCAUCCAGCCAGCCAGUGAGGCAGGGAGCCAGGCAGGAAGCAUUCUUCAGGACUGGGCCAUGUUGCUUCAGCCAAUCACUGGUGUACGUAUCUUGUAGCUAUGACUGUGCCUCCCGCGUAGCCAGCACUGUGGCCUCACAGGAUACAGGAUACACCUCUUUGUUCCAACUAAAUCCUCAUUAGUCAUGCCAAACUGACACACACACACACACUGAUCCAAACCCCUCCAACAUCCCACAUCAUGUGAUUCAGUUGCUAUAGAACAACUUGAACUACUGCCUUGCGGUUGUAUGCCUCAACCAGCCAAGUUGCAGUAAAUAUGGUCACAAUCUCCCCUUCCUGAGUUACAGCAUUGAAUUACCGCCAGGGGUGUUUUUGCAGAACAUCAUUAUGUCACAGUGAAGCUGACCUUUUACCUUUUUGGAUAUAAAAUGUCAUCACUUCAUAAUUUUUUCCGAUUAGACAUUUGUGUUAAAUUGUGUCAUAAUUAGCGUAUGAAUUCAUGAGUUAUGUGUUUUGUGAGGUCACCGUGACCUUAGACCACCAAAAUCUAAUCCGUUCCUUGACUCCAAGUGAAUAUGUUUCUGCCAAAUUUGAAGAAAUUCCCUCAAGGUGUUACUGAGAUAUUGCGUUCAUGAGAACUGGACGGACGUAUGGACAAACAACUCAAAAACAUAAUGCCUGCGGCUCUGGCUGUGGCCGGCAUAGAGGCAUAAUUAUUACUGUGGGGCAAGAAGCAAAACCAAACCCCUGUAGAAUUUGUGUUCAAUAUGCUUGCAGUAUAAUAUAAUGUGACUUUAUGAUGUCCUGAAAAACUUUUCAAAUUUAUAGAACAUUUAAACAAUAAAAUAAUAUCAAAUAUCAUCCACAUAUAACGAUUAAAGCCCAGUUUAUUUGUUAAACCAAAGACCCUCUAUGUCCCCUGACACAGGUCCACCAUAGCAAAUUAAUGCCAUUACAGACCAAUUUUUUGUUGCCAUUUGUUCUGUUAAAAAUUGCAAGAUACUGCAAAGGGUACAGCCAAUGGUCAACUGAUGGUCAAUAUACACUUACUGUAUGUUUUGUUCCUGUGUUACAGGAGUGUUUUGCUCCUGUGACAGUCAGUGCAUGUGUCCUCCAGAGAAUGAAAAAGCAAACUAGACCAUUAUUUUCACACCAGUGAUGAAACAGGAAUAACUGGGUAAACCUGGAUCUGCACCGCUGAUUCACCAACAAAUGUGAAUGGUGGUGAAUGUCUGCUUGGUAUGUCUGGGCCCUAUGAGAACAAGAUGGAAAAUCUCCUGUGUGGAAAGAGGAGAAACCAUUUGAAAGAACCCUCAACUGUCAGCAGGCAUGUAAUGGAUGACAACAUCAGCUAAGUAAAGAUUAAAUGUCAGAGGAAUAUAGAAAACACACAGAGAAACCACAGUGAAAACAUAUGUAUGAAACAUCUUGAACUGGUGCAGUGACAGUCAACAUCAGGGUCAGUCCAUCUCCCUUAUAAUUGUCUGCCUGUGAUAUUAAACCAACCAACGAAUAAAGAAAAAAAAGA